rnacentral:lncRNA from 1 species
AAAGAACCCACUAGUGGCUGACACCAAAGCCAUGUUCCAGCCUUGCUGGAUCACCUCCCAGGGUGGGUUAAUUUUUAGGAAGCAAUCCUAAUGCUUCAAGAAAAUCAUCAGGAGGUCCUCACCUCCCACUUAGGGACCUGUCAACCACAUAUUAAGUUCUUCCCCUCAGCUGGUACUGCCCAUAACUUAAUAACAUAGAGGAUGUGAAAUGCUACAGCUUGUCCUAGAGAGAAGACACCUGGAGGAAGUAAAGCCAUUGGUAGAAUUUCAGACUCUGCACCAGAGUGGAAGGAAGGCAGUUUCAGGAAAGAGUGGCUGCUAUGACAGGUAAGUGAUUAUUUGCUCACAGAAGUAGGCACUCCCUAAAACGAAUUGUUACAUCUCAGACCAUGCAUGGCCAAGUGUGUAUCUUCUUCCUUGCAUCAAGAUGAGGAAGCCUAGGAAAGACAGAGCCACCCAAUGGAGAAGCCUCAAGAAAAAGUUCAGCCGAAGAGGCAGAAUCCAGUGUCUAGAGGAUUCAAGGCAACAGAGAAAGGAAGUGGUCCAGGCAAGCUGUCAACGUCAGGAGCAUAACACAAAUUGGCAGGCCUUCCUAGCAGAGUUUUUGCUAUCUCUGACCAAGCAGAAGAUAAGUUGGACAGAUGCACCAUUCAGAGGCCAAGUUCCACACAGCAGUUUUUUUUUUUUUUUUUCUAGAAGUAACAUCUGGCUCUAUGGCUUUUUCCCCCUUGGAGACUCAGCGGCUAUGGACAUGGCUGGCUGGCUGCUUGGCUUGCUUCACAGCUGUGGGGCCACAUCCCAAGUUCCUCCGGCAUAAGCUGCAGCUGUGCAACAUCUGACUUCAUCCUUCCACGUCCCCCCGCCCCCCUUGUCCUUUUACUUGAGGCAGACCCCCAAGAAAUCCAGGCAAAACUCUGAAAAACAUGGGAUGGUGUCAGCACUCUGGUCCCUGGCCCUUGGUAGCUAUUAGAAGUAAAACCACACCUUGUAGGGACCAGUGUUCUGUCACCAUGUUAAUGGUUUGAGGAAGAGGUUAAACUCUUUGGUCAGGCAAGACCUGGGGGGAAACAUGAGUUUCUAUUCACAAGGGAGAUGAAAAGAAAAAUCUUUUUGGAGAGUGGGGCCUUUUCUGUCAGUGAGGCCAAAGAUUAAAAAUGAAGAGAAGAGCCUAUAAAGAUACUUACGAAAGAAUGGAGAGCAAUGGUCCCUAAGGAUCCAGAAAUACCUGUGAAUUGGAAGGAUUUCAGUUCUGGUAAUUCUUUGAAAACAACAUUUUCAUUUUCUAAGUGAUAUAUACUCAUUAAAGAAAAUAUAGAAAAAGAAAGAAAAAUAUAUAUACCUAGAGAAAAUCAUAUUUCUUCCAUCCAAACUCAGACCAUUUGGGGCAUUGCCUUCUUUCCCUUUUUUUCUUGAAUAUAGAAUUCUGGAGAGUUGGGCUUACCCCUAGAUUUAAUCAUACAUGAUAUAUGUUUAUAUAUGUACAAUAUUAUACAAGUUUUGUCAUGUAAUUAAUGUCCUUUGUAACAACUUUUAAGGGUGGUAUAAUUGAGCAGUUAUGGCAAUUUUCUAAAUCUAUUAUAAUUGUUUUAAUAGGCACUAAAGAGACAUUUUAAAGAAGCAAAUAAAAUCAGUAAAAAGAAAACCUGGAUUUAGGCAAUAAGAAGAGAGAAAAAAUAAACUCCAAGGUUUACUUAUAUAGCCCAGAGACUAGCAGGAUGGUGAUAUCAAUAGCAGAAAUAUUGAAGCAAGAAAGAGCUUGAGAGGUUGCCUAUUUCCUGGCUACUCAAAGUGUAGUCCAUGAAUCACCAACAUCAGCAUCAUCAGGGAACUUGUUAGAGGUGCAGAAUCUUAUCCUCCACCUCAGACCUACUGAGUCAGAACCUGCAUCUUAAAAGGACCUUCAGACAGUUGAUAUGCUCAACAAAGAUCAGGAAUCACUGGCUCAAUACAAUCCCUUUUCCCAACCAGAGAUGUAAAGUCUGGCUGCAGUCACACAGCUAAAUACUGGAGAUCUGGUCAACCUCUAGUAAUAAUACAAAAUAACAUUUAUCAAUAACUAAGUGCCAGGAAUGAUUCUAAUUGCUUUAUAUUUAAUGCUUACAACAACCAUGUUUGCAUCCCUUUUUAUGAUUAAAAAAAAAACAAAAAACUGAGUUUCAAGUAACUUGCCCAAGGUCCGAUAUUAACUGGCAGAACUGAGAUUGAACCCUGGGUAUCUGGGUAUCUGUCUUCACAGCUUAUACUCCUAACCACCAAACUAAACUGGAUGAUGAAUGACUGGAUGGAUGGAUGGAUGGAUGGAUGGAUGGA